rnacentral:rRNA from 1 species
CCUACGGGGUGCAGCAGUGAGGAAUAUUGGUCAAUGGACGAGAGUCUGAACCAGCCAAGUAGCGUGAAGGAUGACUGCCCUAUGGGUUGUCAACUUCUUUUAUAAAGGAAUAAAACGAGGCACGUGUGCCUUUUUGCAUGUACUUUAUGAAUAAGGAUCGGCUAACUCCGUGCCAGCAGCCGCGGUAAUACGGAGGAUCGUAGCGUUAUCCGGAUUGAUUGGGUGUAAAGGGUGCGUAGACGGAGAAGCAAGUUAGUUGUGAAAUCCCUCGGCUUAACUGAGGAACUGCAACUAAGACUACUUCCCUUGAGUACUGGAGAGGAAAGUGGAAUUCCUAGUGUAGCGGUGAAAUGCGUAGAUAUUAGGAGGAACACCAGUGGCGAAGGCGACUUUCUGGACAGUAACUGACGUUGAGGCACGAAAGUGUGGGGAGCAAACAGGAUUAGAUACCCCAGUAGUC